UGCCAGCCGCCGCGGUAACACGUACUGUGCGAACGUUAUUCGGAAUCACUGGGCUUAAAGGGUGCGUAGGCGGCGAAUCAAGUCAGGUGUGAAAGGCCUGAGCUCAACUGAGGCAUUGCGCUUGAAACUGAUUCGCUUGAGUAUUUCAGGGGUGUGCGGAACUGCCAGUGGAGCGGUGAAAUGUGUUGAUAUUGGCAGGAACACCGGAGGCGAAAGCGGCACACUGGGGAAUAACUGACGCUGAGGCACGAAAGCCAGGGUAGCGAACGGGAUUAGAUA
rnacentral:rRNA from 1 species